AUCGUAACAAGGUUUCCGUAGGUGAACNGCGGAAGGAUCAUUA
rnacentral:rRNA from 1 species